UACAGAGGUCCCAAGCGUUGUUCGGAUUCACUGGGCGUAAAGGGUGCGUAGGCGGUCGGGUAAGUCUGAUGUGAAAUCUCACAGCUUAACUGUGAAACUGCAUUGGAUACUAUCCGGCUCGACGAAUGGAGGGGAGACUGGAAUACUUGGUGUAGCAGUGAAAUGCGUAGAUAUCAAGUGGAACACCAGUGGCGAAGGCGAGUCUCUGGACAUUUCCUGACGCUGAGGCACGAAAGCCAGGGGAGCAAACGGG
rnacentral:rRNA from 1 species